rnacentral:lncRNA from 1 species
UACCCGCUGUCUUUAAUGUCUUAUCUUCAUUCUUUACACUAGACUAAAGAAUUCAACUCACCUAUUUUUACCCGGCCCAAGCUACCCACUGUCUUUAACACUUUUCUUCAUCCUUUAACAGUUAACCCUAGACUAGAGAACAGUUUCCAAAUCUCCAUAGCCAAACCAUGAGAACCCAUAUUUCACCGAAAUUUGAGUUUUAAAUUUCUUCUUCUGAUUCCGUUCUAUCUCUUCAACUAGUAGUAAUUUUUGGGUAAAAAUUUUGCUUUUGAAAGUACAUUUUAGUGAAAGUGGAUUUUCAAAUUCACAAAACUUUUGUAUUUUUCACAUUUUAGUGAAAGUGGGUUUUCAAAAUCAUAGAAUUUUUGUAUUUUUCUUUGUACUUUCGUGAAUCAAUGUCUAUGGGUUGUUGUUUUUUCUAUGGGUCAGAAGCAUUGUGCGCGUAGAUGGUGG